UAGAGCCCUCACUCUCUCCCUCUCGGCCGCGUUCCUCUCUCUCUCUCUCGUCCUCCCUCUCUGCCAUCACCAGAAAACACAGUUUCCGGCUUCCAUCUCACAAAACCACCACCACCAAUCGAUCCAGCACCCAAAUCCGACCCAAGCCCGACCUCUCUUUCUCAUCUUCACUCUCUGCCAUCACCGGAGACUCCAGCUCUGGCCACCACCUCACCACAUCACCUCCACCAGUCGACGCCGCACCAAAACCCGACCAAAACUGGAGCCUUACCGUCGACAUGCAUCACCUCCAGCCUACGCACGGGUUUCUCGAAGCAGCGACGCCACUGCUCGUCUGCUUUCCUUGAUUUUCGUCCAUCAUCUCGCCACUCGAACACCACCAUCCGACUCAGUAAGCAACGAGGAGGAAAAUCCAGAAGUUCCGCCACCCACCGAAGUUGGAUGGUGCCGCACGCACAUCGCUGGAGUCAUGGCUCUGCAUGCAAUCGUUUUUCGAUUUCCAGCCAUGUCUGAGCUACACGACCACCAUGAAUGAAAUCAGCACCUCUCUUUUUAUCAUAGCCCCAUAAUCCUGACCUCCGACUCCGACCCGAGCCGCCGCACGCGCGUCGACCACAGUAGCUCCGCCGCUCACGAUCACCGGAUCUUCGGGCUUUUCCGAUUAGGUAAUUGUCGUACCCUCCUUUAGUUGAAACAUUCAAUUUCAGUUUGGAUGGAGAAAUCCCUAACCCACUAUCACUUAAUUUCGAAAUGAGGUUCUUGUAUUUCUGCGAAUUGGAGUUUCAGAGAAGAUGAGCUACUGGGCACAAACCAGAAAUGAUGGAGACUUGAGGUUUGAGGAAUCUGCGUUUUUGAAGAUGUCGGAGAAGAGAGAAAUUAUUGGUUCAGUCCAGUUGAUAUCGGAGAUUGGAAUCUGAAUGGUUGACAGUGGUGGAAUGCAGAUACGUUGGAUUAGCUUGUAAUUUGGAAAAGAAGAAUUGCUAAGGGUCUGGGUAUCUUGAACAUGUAUUGUUGUGAUCUGAUUGUAUUAAGUUGAAGUUGUGGUUUGAUUGAAUAAGCGAAAUGAACUUUGGUUUGCAAUACUGAAAUGGUUAGUGCUUCAAAGAGUUGUCGGUUUCGUUAGAAAGUUGACGUAGUAAUGAAUUGAGUAUGAAUUGGCUUAUGUAUUGAGAAGGUUGGCUUUGUUAAAUUAAAGAAGUGAAUCUGUUGUAAAUUUUGGAAGUGUAGUAAUGGUUAACUCGGUGGGCUCUUUCAACGAAAUGUUGGUUUGGAAAAAAAAAACAUAAGAGAUAUGGAUACUGCGGCCAUAUCGAGGCAGAAAUGGGUAUCAAUAGGGGACCUUAUGCCAUUAAGUUAAAAGAAGGAUUUUCCAUUAAAGAUAAUGAAAUAGUAACAGUUAAAGUACUUUCGUAGUUACCAUAUCCCGGAAUGAACAUAAUAAGCAAAGACAUUCGGGAAUGGUAAAUUAUCCUUUGUUUUUCUUGUCGAACGAAUACUAAACAAGGAAAGGUCAAAUGAGUUGAGUUGAGCUAUGUUUAUUAGACACAAGUGUUAAGUUUGAUCACCAUAUCCGAAAUGCAAUCAAUGCCAUUUGGAUUGUUUGGGAAUGGGUAAAGAUUUUAUCUAUAAAAGGAUAGUCCGAUGGACUUUAAGGAAAACUAAAUAAAUGUUUUGGUUGCUCGGUUAGUUGAGUUAUAAUAACGUCAGGUUACUCAUUGGUUAAUUUUAUUAUAAAGGGCUUGUGCGUGUGCCUUUGGAACCGGACGAAGUAUCGAAAGUCGAAAAGGAAGCAAACUGUGGACGAGCACUCCAUUUCCAGGUAGGGUGAGCUGUCCCUUCAUUGUUAGAGGCUUUUCUAUAUGUGGAAUGCUCUAGUAUAUUAAUAUGUUGCCUGCAAGUACGUUUAUGGUUGUUCAUUGGUCGAUGCCUCGUGAUAUCCGUGUUUCCAUAACUAAUAAUUGCUUAUUGUGAAAACCGAGGCUAGACUUGCAUGUUGAGAUACUGUACCCACUGUAUGUUUGUACUUGUGACCUGAAAGUGAAUGGGACCUAGACGCGUAGAUUUCUAGGGAUCCCACGGUGUCGAUAACUGUAAACCUCCGGAGGGGGCCGUGCUCCUAUGUUUGUUGAGAAAAAGUGAGUACAGACAGUGAACCAGUCAUGGGAGACUCAGGGCCAGGAAAUGGACACUUUCGCUACUUGUAGUCGGAAGUACUACAGAGUAGUUGGCUGGUUCUCGAAUUCAGGACGAACCAGGUCGGUCACCGAUUUGUUUUAUUUUAGCCGGCAGUGUGCAGGUUUCGAGCAUGUGGUCGGGAAGCGUACAGGGGAGGCUCAUGGCACGACUUGGCGCAUUUCUCUUUAGUUUUAUCAAAAGGAAGGUUUUGGUCCCUUAUCGGAUUUUGAAGUAACUUAGUUAUUUAUUUUCUUACUAAUUUAUUUGUUUAUUUGUUUUCUAUUCGCUCCUUUACAAAAUUUCGAGAGACCCGUAACCCUAGGGCGCGUCUCUCAUACUUGUUUUUUUACUUCGUGAUUUGUUAUUUUCCAAAUUGGGCUCCUAUUGUAAGCCCAAAUC